GCCAGAGCGAAUUUUGACGCUCUCGCCCCUUCUGGUGUGAACGUACAGUAAGUCUUUUAUACUUUUUUUUUGUAGGUUUUGGCUUUUAUUGGACAAGACAUUGGAUGUUAACAAGUAGCAGGAAAGAGAUAGAAAUAAGGGUCAGUACGAUCUCCGAGAAGGCAGGACGGCUGUCUGCACACAUCUACCACAGAAAGAGAAUAAACAAAUUAAGAAACAGAACAAUGGCCAGUUGACAGCCAGGCAAAGAAAUGAAGAUGGACAGUCUCCCACCAUGUGUUCAAAGGCGUCAACGUCCAGACCAAAAUCCUACAAACAAACAGACAGAUGCCUUGAUGGUGUUUCAUAUGUACUUGACAGAUAAGACACCUU